AACCAGACUCCUACGGGAGGCAGCAGUGGGGAAUAUUGCACAAUGGGGGAAACCCUGAUGCAGCAACGCCGCGUGAGUGAAGAAGUAUUUCGGUAUGUAAAGCCCUAUCAGCAGGGAAGAAAAUGACGGUACCUGAGUAAGAAGCCCCGGCUAACUACGUGCCAGCAGCCGCGGUAAUACGCAGGGGGCAAGCGUUAUCCGGAUUUACUGGGUGUAAAGGGAGCGUAGACGGCGAUACAAGUCUGAAGUGAAAGCCCGGGGCUCAACCCCGGGACUGCUUUGGAAACUGUGUUGCUGGAGUGCUGGAGAGGCAAGCGGAAUUUCUAGUGUAGCGGUGAAAUGCGUAGAUAUUAGGAGGAACACCGGCGGCGAAGGCGGCCUGCUGGACCGUGACUGACGUUGAGGCUCGAGAGCGUGGGGAGCAAACAGGAUUAGAUACCCGCGUAU
rnacentral:rRNA from 1 species